rnacentral:rRNA from 1 species
UACGUAGGGGGCAAGCGUUGUCCGGAUUUAUUGGGCGUAAAGAGCGUGUAGGCGGGUAGGUAGGUCCGUUGUGAAAACUCGAGGCUCAACCUCGAGACGCCGAUGGAAACCAUCUGACUAGAGUCCGGAAGAGGAGAGUGGAAUUCCUGGUGUAGCGGUGAAAUGCGCAGAUAUCAGGAAGAACACCGGUGGCGAAGGCGGGUCUCUGGGCCGAUACUGACGCUGAGGAGCGAAAGCGUGGGGAGCGAACAGG